rnacentral:rRNA from 1 species
CCUACGGGAGGCAGCAGUGAGGAAUAUUGGUCAAUGGCCGGGAGGCUGAACCAGCCAAGUCGCGUGAGGGAAGACGGCCCUACGGGUUGUAAACCUCUUUUGUCAGGGAGCAAGGUGCAGGUCGUGACCUGCUCUGCGUGUACCCUAAGAAAAAGCAUCGGCUAACUCCGUGCCAGCAGCCGCGGUAAUACGGAGGGUGCGAGCGUUAUCCGGAAUUAUUGGGCGUAAAGGGUGCGUAGAUGGCCUAUUAAGUCUUCGGUAAAAAUGCGGGGCUCAACCCAGUAGGGCAAAAGAUACUGGAAGGCUAGAGUAUGACAGAGGCAAGUGGAACUAGAGGUGUAGCGGUAAAAUGCGUAGAUAU